AUUGAACGCUGGCGGCAGGCCUAACACAUGCAAGUCGAACGAGUGGCGGACGGGUGAGUCAUGUCUGGGAACAUGCCCGAUGGAGGGGGAUAACUACUGGAAACUGUAGCUAAUACCGCAUACCAUCCGAUGUGACCAGAUGGGCUUAGCUAGUAGGUGUGGUAACGGCUAACCGAGGCGACGAUCCCUAGCUGAGCUGAGAGGAUGACCAGCCACACCGGAACUGAGCCACGGUCCAGACUCCUACGGGAGGCAGCAGUGGGUAAUCUUGCACAAUGGGCGCAAGCCUGAUGAAGCCAUGCCGCGUGUAUGAAAAAGGCUUUCGGGUUGUAAAGUACUGUCAGCGAGGAGGCGUGACUAGCAGAAGAAGCAUCGGCUAAGUCCGUGCCAGCAGCCGCGGUAAUUC
rnacentral:rRNA from 1 species